CACACGUGUUACAAUGGGGGGUACAGAGGGCCGCUACCACGCGAGUGGAUGCCAAUCCCUAAAACCCCUCUCAGUUCGGACUGGAGUCUGCAACCCGACUCCACGAAGCUGGAUUCGCUAGUAAUCGCGCAUCAGCCACGGCGCGGUGAAUACGUUCCCGGGCCUUGUACACACCGCCCGUCAAGCCAUGGGAGCCGGGGGUACCUGAAGUGCGUAACCGCAAGGAUCGCCCUAGGGUAAAACUGGUGACUGGGGCUAAGUCGUAACAAGGUAGC
rnacentral:rRNA from 1 species